rnacentral:rRNA from 1 species
UACGUAGGGGGCAAGCGUUGUCCGGAAUCAUUGGGCGUAAAGCGCGUGUAGGCGGUCCGGGUAAGUCCGCUGUGAAAGUCGGGGGCUCAACCCUGGGAUGCCGGUCGAUACUGCCGGACUAGAGUUCGGAAGAGGCGAGUGGAAUUCCCGGUGUAGCGGUGAAAUGCGCAGAUAUCAGGAGGAACACCGAUGGCGAAGGCAGGUCUCUGGGCCACUACUGACGCUGAGAAGCGAAAGCAUGGGGGAGCAAACAGG